UGGAUGAUGUGGAUAAUCGAUGCAACGCCGAAAACCUUACCUACCUUGACAUGUCCGGAAUCCGAAGAGAUUUGGGAGUGCUCGCAAGAGAACCGGAACACAGGUGCUGCAUGGCUGUCGUCAGCUCGUGUCGUGAGAUGUUGGGUUAAGUCCCGCAACGAGCGCAACCCUUGUCAUUAGUUGCCAUCAUUGGUUGGGCACUCUAAUGAGACUGCCGGUGACAAACCGGAGGAAGGUGGGGAUGACGUCAAGUCCUCAUGGCCCUUAUGGGUAGGGCUUCACACGUCAUACAAUGGUCGGUACAGAGGGUUGCCAACCCGCGAGGGGGAGCUAAUCCCACAAAGCCGAUCGUAGUCCGGAUCGCAGUCUGCAACUCGACUGCGUGAAGUCGGAAUCGCUAGUAAUCGUGGAUCAGCAUGUCACGGUGAAUACGUUCCCGGGUCUU
rnacentral:rRNA from 1 species